rnacentral:lncRNA from 1 species
UGAGAGAAAUAAAGGAGGAGACAAACAUGGAGGCUCAGCCUGGAGUUGACCUUUACCAGUUGGGAGCCUGAGAGCUGAGAGAGAAACAAGUGAAAUAAACCUGUCAGAUUCAGAUUGGUUCCAUUUGGAUUUAGGGUUUCCUUUCUUCUUCUUCCCCAGAAGAAAGAAGAUGAUGUUAAUGGCGUGCGAAGGAUAAUCAAACAAGCAAACAAAUCCCAAAACCGAAACAAUGGGGUGGAGGAAUGCGUUUGACAAUGCGAAGC